rnacentral:lncRNA from 1 species
CAUGAUUAUUUGAUGCACAGAAGUCAUUGUAACGUGUGUUUCUCUGUCUGUAGUGACUCGUGUGAUCAGGGUGAUGUGGAUGCAAACGCAGACAUGUCAUGUGGCGGGUUCAAUCACUCUCAUGUCACUCCAAACACAUCUCUGGGUUACGCUCAUGCCACACCGUCCCGUGCUCUCCCUUCCCCCACUGUCAACACGCGUGAGGCUUUGGGUGUGAUCAUGGACAUGUUUCAGGCUCCCACCCUCCUCCAGGAGUCCAUGUUCAACAGCACUGUUCAGCCGGAGGACAGCUUUGAGAAGAGCUGCAGAAUCAGCAGCGCCCCCUCAUGUGUUAAAGCUCUCAGCGCAACUCCAUUCAUGAUAUACCAGGACAGAGAUGAGCAGGAGAACGGAGGGCAGACAGGCCUGCAGCUUCAGACGGAGCACUCCGCAGGGCAUGCUGGGAAGUGGAACAGCAGUGUGGCAGAAACAAGCCAUCCACUGACCGCUCCGUUACCCAGUGCAGCCUGCGGCUCUCGACCCGAGAGCGUGAGUGGAUCUAGAGAGAGUCUGCUGGGACAGAUAGAGAGCACAGCAGUGCUGCGGGAUCCCAGCACAUCCCUGAUCCAGAGCAGCUGCUGCGCUGUCCCUGACACCAGAGAGACUGACUCGUGUGAUCAGGGUGAUGUGGAUGCAAACGCAGACAGUGAGUAUAUCUCCUCAUGUGCACACUGCUCCGUACAGCUGCUGUAUGUGCACUCACUCUCUCGCUCUCUCUCGCUCUCUCUCGCUCUCUCGCUCUCUCUCUUAGUGUCAUGUGGCGGGUUCAAUCACUCUCAUGUCACUCCAAACACAUCUCUGGGUUACGCUCAUGCCACACCGUCCCGUGCUCUCCCUUCCCCCACUGUCAACACGCGUGAGGCUUUGGGUAAGAGCGCACACACACACUCUGAGUUCAUGCUGUGUUUACGUGUGGAUGCUGUGCUUGAUGUGUGUUGUUCUGUAGGUGUGAUCAUGGACAUGUUUCAGGCUCCCACCCUCCUCCAGGAGUCCAUGUUCAACAGCACUGUUCAGCCGGAGGACAGCUUUGAGAAGAGCUGCAGAAUCAGUAUGUCCCACACACACAAGCUCCAGCCUUGUACCUGCGCAUA